CCUACGGGUGGCUGCAGUGAGGAAUAUUGGUCAAUGGACGCAAGUCUGAACCAGCCAUGCCGCGUGCAGGAAGACGGCUCUAUGAGUUGUAAACUGCUUUUGUACGAGGGUAAACGCAGAUACGUGUCUCUGUCUGAAAGUAUCGUACGAAUAAGGAUCGGCUAACUCCGUGCCAGCAGCCGCGGUAAUACGGAGGAUUCAAGCGUUAUCCGGAUUUAUUGGGUUUAAAGGGUGCGUAGGCGGUCUGAUAAGUUAGCGGUGAAAUCCCGAGGCUCAACUUCGGAAUUGCCUCUGAUACUGGUCGGCUAGAGAGGAGGUGCGGUAGGCGGAAUGUGUGGUGUAGCGGUGAAAUGCUUAGAGAUCAUACAGAACACCGAUUGCGAAGGCAGCUUGCCAAGCUACUUCUGACGUUGAGGCACGAAAGCGUGGGGAGCGAACAGGAUUAGAUACCCUUGUAGUC
rnacentral:rRNA from 1 species